UGGAUUUCUCUUUCUUGCCACCAUCUCUUU
rnacentral:piRNA from 1 species